GCCAGAGUGGCAUAGUGGUUUGAUUGCUGGGCUGUGAUUCUGGAGACCAGGGUUCAAAUCCCAGGUUGGCCA